AGUCACAGCCAUAUCACCCUGCAGCCGAAGACUGGUUACUCACUGAAGCUAAGCAGGACUGAGCCUAGCCAGUACCUGGAUGGGAGACCACAUGGAAAAACUAGAUUGCUGUUGGAA
rnacentral:rRNA from 1 species